rnacentral:rRNA from 4 species
GUGGGCGCUGGAGAACUGAGGGGGGCUGCUCCUAGUACGAGAGGACCGGAGUGGACGCAUCACUGGUGUUCGGGUUGUCAUGCCAAUGGCACUGCCCGGUAGCUAAAUGCGGAAGAGAUAAGUGCUGAAAGCAUCUAAGCACGAAACUUGCCCCGAGAUGAGUUCUCCCUGAGACUUAGAGUCUCCUGAAGGAACGUUGAAGACGACGACGUUGAUAGGCCGGGUGUGUAAGCGCAGCGAUGCGUUGAGCUAACCGGUACUAAUGAACCGUGAGGCUUAACCUUACAACGCCGAAG